AGUCCGAAAGCUUGGAAGAGUAAAUUUCUGGUCCCGGUGACUGAUUCAAAUUCGAUCUCACAGAGCUAAGUGUUUGUGAAUGUAGAAUAUAUCACUUACUAGAUACGAUUACAUAGAAAUAGCUCAGCUGUUGUAUGCACAUCUCAGUGGAGAUACAAGUUCUAUGAUUCACUUCUUUGUGAGAAUAUGCAGGAGAAAAAUAAAAGUGGGUCAAUUUCUCUGCAAACAAAUAUUCCUCCUACCCAGCCUUCAAUUCCCCAUCAAUAGGGAGCGGAAACCAGUGCUGGACCUGGCCAGACAUGAGGCAUCGCGACACAAGGCAAGGCAAGAUUGGCAGAGGUGCCCAGAACAACCAACAACCCAAGCACUUCUACUCAGUUGGUGUAAAACUAGUUCACCCCCCAUGGGGCACCAAAGAUAGGUGCAUAAGCACUGAAUGGAAAGAACUAGCAUUCUAGGCUGUCAGGACUGUUAUGUAUCUAACAUGUGU